AUUGAACGCUGGCGGCAGGCUUAACACAUGCAAGUCGAGCGGAGAUGAGGUGCUUGCACCUUAUCUUAGCGGCGGACGGGUGAGUAAUGCUUAGGAAUCUGCCUAUUAGUGGGGGACAACAUUCCGAAAGGAAUGCUAAUACCGCAUACGUCCUACGGGAGAAAGCAGGGGAUCUUCGGACCUUGCGCUAAUAGAUGAGCCUAAGUCGGAUUAGCUAGUUGGUGGGGUAAAGGCCUACCAAGGCGACGAUCUGUAGCGGGUCUGAGAGGAUGAUCCGCCACACUGGGACUGAGACACGGCCCAGACUCCUACGGGAGGCAGCAGUGGGGAAUAUUGGACAAUGGGGGGAACCCUGAUCCAGCCAUGCCGCGUGUGUGAAGAAGGCCUUAUGGUUGUAAAGCACUUUAAGCGAGGAGGAGGCUACUGAGACUAAUACUCUUGGAUAGUGGACGUUACUCGCGGAAUAAGCCCCGGCUAACUCCGUGCCAGCCGCCGCCGUAA
rnacentral:rRNA from 1 species